rnacentral:rRNA from 1 species
GAUGAACGCUAGCUACAGGCUUAACACAUGCAAGUCGCGGGGCAGCAUUGGGGUUGCUUGCAAUCCCCGAUGGCGACCGGCGCACGGGUGAGUAACGCGUAUCCAACCUGCCCUUCACCACGGGAUAACCCGGCGAAAGUCGGACUAAUACCGUAUGUUGUCCAUUGACGGCAUCCGAUUUGGACGAAAGGUUUGGCGGUGAAGGAUGGGGAUGCGUCCGAUUAGCUGGACGGCGGGGUGACGGCCCACCGUGGCGACGAUCGGUGGGGGUUCUGAGAGGAAGGUCCCCCACACUGGAACUGAGACACGGUCCAGACUCCUACGGGAGGCAGCAGUGAGGAAUAUUGGUCAAUGGGCGUAAGCCUGAACCAGCCAAGUAGCGUGCAGGAUGACGGCCCUAUGGGUUGUAAACUGCUUUUAUGCGGGGAUAAAGUGGCCCACGUGUGGGUUUUUGCAGGUACCGCAUGAAUAAGGACCGGCUAAUUCCGUG